UUCGUUUCCUUGCGAUAUUUCACGGGGAUUUCAGGUUUUGGAGUCAACACUUGUCGGAAGAUUGCGCCACAUGUGUGUUGUUUUUGGAAUUGUAUGUCAGUUACACUUUUGAUUGGACUGCAGAUAUGUCAGGCCGUGCAGGUGGUAAGAAGAAGCCUCUGAAGGCUCAAAAGAAAGAACAGAAGGAGAUGAGUGAGGAGGAUCUUGAUUUCAAACAAAAAAAGAAGGAAGAGCAAGCAGCCCUAAAGGCGAUGCGGGAGAAGGCCGGCCAGAAAGGACCUUUAACUGGAGGUGGAAUCAAGAAAUCUGGCAAGAAAUGACCCUGGCUUCUUCUGCCAUAUUUUUAGAGGCAUUUAACAUGUUUAACAGCAGAGAAGACUUUGCAAUCACUCCUGGUUUAUUAUACACUUGACUUCUUUGGGUCGACAUGUUUCCUUACAGCGUCAGCCAAAUGUUCGUAAUGUAUUUUAUCAUGUAAUAAAAUCUUUGAACUCCCAAA